rnacentral:pre_miRNA from 1 species
AGUGGAAUAACUGGGUUAAAUUGUGGUUCCAUUCCAAGUUUUCUGAGGAUCUCCAUACUGCUUUCUAGAGUGGUUUUGACAAUUUGCAGUCCCAACAGCAAU